CACCGCGGUUAUACGAGAGGCCCAAGUUAACAGGACCUCGGCGUAAAGCGUGGUUAAAUUAAUUUAUACUAGAGCCGAAUACCCCCGAAGCUGUUAUACGCACCCGGGGGCCAGAAGCCCCACCACGAAAGUGGCUUUAUUUUGUUUGAGCCCACGAAAGCUAGGACA
rnacentral:rRNA from 1 species